rnacentral:antisense_RNA from 1 species
UUAAUGAGAGUAUUUCUCCCAGCAGCACUUGCUCUGAAGGAACACUUAGUUCAUCAGAAGAAAAAAAGCCCAUUGUUGUCACCAUCUCAAAUCUGUUGGGUAGAUACCACAGCCGAGUCUUGGCAUGAUCCCCCUGUCUGCAGUUAGCAGAGCUGUCAUGCUGUGUGGCCUUGGAAUGAUCUCCAGAUUUCAUGUGAUGCCAAUGAAGUACAUGAAAAACUGGACUCCCAGAAACCACCACAAAGUAAUCACUUUCCCAUCUCUGCUUGGUACCUUUGAUUCUUCUACAAGCACAUCUCAGGCAGCCAAAAAGAUUGUGUUGAAUUUUAUGUUCUGUGGGUUUCUUUCCAAAAUAAUAGAUAUGGAGUUUGCAAUCUCCCCCAUGAGAAGAACAUGUUUUGGGAAGAAUGGGAGUCAUAUGGAAGUGACUUGAACCCAACUCUCAGCCUGGAAUCAGGCUCAGUCUAGAGAAGCUGAUCCCUAGACAACCUGCAGAUACAUGAGUAAGAAAUAAAGACCUGUCACGAGGUUUUAA